rnacentral:lncRNA from 1 species
UUGGAGAUAGAAUUAGAGAAAAAGGAUUAGGGUUAGAGAUAGAAUUAGGAUUAGGGUCAAGUAAGGUUCUCUAGAGAAAAAGGAUUUGUAUUGAUCAGUAAGAAUUAUCAAGAAUAUCGUCACCCAACCCCAGGCUUUGAGACUUUGUGCAUGGCUCCUCAAUCAAAAGUCGUGACAAUAUUUCAUUCCAUUUGCUUAGCUUAAACCUCACCGGGUAGUGAUCAAGUUUUGGUUCUUCUAAGUAGAACCCAGCAUCCGCAUCCGUAUAGAAAGCACGAAAGUGACGGACCUUCUCAGCCCCAGAAAUCC